GAAGGGGCGUGGUCGUGCGGCGUUUUCCGCGUUCAGAGGCUCUCGUUCUCGCUCGUUUAAUUCGUUCCUAAGAUGCAGUCUGAUCCCUCGAGGGCAGACUAGUGGCUGCGCUUGCGUCACAGUCCGCUUGCCCUGGAAACGGAUGGAGCCUCGGCGUCUACCCCUGUUGGAAUAACCACCCUGGAAAGCAGUGGCCGAAGUAACUAUAGCUCUGUGGGGAUUCCCUAACUUUUCGCCCUGAAAACACUGCUCGACUCUGGGAAUCCAAAGACGAAUGAGGCACACACUUCCUGCCUUCAACCUGCUGACAGUUCUUUAGGGCCAGUGUAUAGCAUGCGCAAGACAGUGUAUUAGAAUUCUGCUAGGGGCCACAAAUCAAAUUUCCGAAGGAGCCAGCCAGUUAUUUAAGUGAAUAGAAAAGUGCAGGAUCCAAUCCAGCUGUGUCAAGGUUCCCCGAGGCCACCCCCAAGUUUAAUGAUUUGCCAGGACUCAGGAAUCAGCAUUUGGUCAUCCUCAUGACUAUGAUUUAUUACAAUGAAAGGCUACAAAACAAAAUCAGCAAAGAGAAAUGGUACCUGGGAUUUAUUUAUUUGAGAGAGAAAGAGAGAGAGAGCGAGUGCAGGGCCGGUCAGAGGGAGCGAGAGAGAAUCCUGAAGCAGGCUCCCCACUGAUCAUGGAACCUGAUGCAGGGCUCCAUCGCAGGACCCCCAAGAUCACCACCCAAGCUGAAACCAAGAGUCGGACGCUUUAACCAAGUGAGCCACCCAGGGCUGCGCCUUAAAGAGCCAGAGUGGGAUGCUGACCUUUGGUAACCAGUCCGAGAUGUACCACACUGGGGGUUCCUGGACGCACCAGCCUCUAGCUGGUUUCACGGCCAUGAAAACACAACUAGGUAUAUUUUAAAAACAAGAGAUGCAGAAUGCAGAGGGUUAACAUAGAAGUUGGUUCUCAGUGCAGUCUAAGGAACUCUGGGGUGCAUGAGACUCUUCAAGGAGUCUGAGAGAUCAAAAUCAUGCACCUAGUAAAAGAAACCCUCGGAGGGCAAUAAAUAGCGCAAUGGAUUUUAACGUAACAGAGGAUGAAAAGACCAUUGAUUUCAGAUAACUCAUUGUAGCUAAUCUUUGAGAAACUUUAUCACUUGUUGAAUAUUGGUAUUGUAUCAGAGAAGAAUAUCUUCAGUUAUCUGUAAAGCUUUUAAAAUACUUCUUCCUUUUCUAACUACAUAUCUGCAUAUGGCCAUAUUUUCUUCAUAUACUUGACCAAAACCACAUACUAAAAGUAGAAAUGCAUAUUAGCAUACAGCUGACUUCUAUUAAGCUGGGUAGUAAAGAAACUUGUGAAAAUGAAAGUGAUAUUCUUUACACUAAAUUUAUUUAACUUGGAAAAUACAUUUAGUUUUGAUAAA